rnacentral:rRNA from 1 species
CCUACGGGUGGCAGCAGUGGGGAAUAUUGCGCAAUGGGCGAAAGCCUGACGCAGCGACGCCGCGUGAGGGAUGAAGGUCUUCGGAUCGUAAACCUCUGUCAGCAGGGAAGAACGGUCACGGUGCUAAGCAGCAGUGAAUUGACGGUACCGGCAAAGGAAGCACCGGCUAACGCCGUGCCAGCAGCCGCGGUAAUACGGAGGGGGCGAGCGUUAAUCGGAAUUACUGGGCGUAAAGCGCUCGUAGGCGGUAUGUCAAGUCAAGGGUGAACUCCCCGCCCUCAACGUGGGAACUGCCUUUGAAACUGGCACACUGGAUUGUGUGCGAGGCUAGUGGCAUUCCAGGUGUAGGAGUGCAAUCCGUAGAUCUCUGGAGGAACAUCAGUGGCGAAGGCGACUCUCUGGCACAUAACUGACGCUGAGGCGCG